GGAGGCAGCAGUGGGGAAUAUUGCACAAUGGGCGCAAGCCUGAUGCAGCCAUGCCGCGUGUGUGAAGAAGGCCUUCGGGUUGUAAAGCACUUUCAGUCGUGAGGAAGGUGGUAGUGUUAAUAGCRCUAUCAUUUGACGUUAGCGACAGAAGAAGCACCGGCUAACUCCGUGCCAGCAGCCGCGGUAAUACGGAGGGUGCGAGCGUUAAUCGGAAUUACUGGGCGUAAAGCGCAUGCAGGUGGUUUGUUAAGUCAGAUGUGAAAGCCCGGGGCUCAACCUCGGAACUGCAUUUGAAACUGGCAGACUAGAGUAGCUGUAGAGGGGGUAGAAUUCAGGUGUAGCGGUGAAAUGCGUAGAGAUCUGAAGGAAUACCGGUGGCGAAGGCGGCCCCCUGGACAGAUACUGACACUCAGAUGCGAAAGCGUGGGGAGCAAACAGGAUUAGAUACCCUGGUAGUCCACGCUGUAAACGAUGUCUACUUGGAGGUUGUGGCCUUGAGCCGUGGCUUUCGGAGCUAACGCGUUAAGUAGACCGCCUGGG
rnacentral:rRNA from 1 species